rnacentral:rRNA from 1 species
CCUACGGGCGGCAGCAGUGGGGAAUAUUGGACAAUGGGGGGAACCCUGAUCCAGCUAUGCCGCGUGUGUGAAGAAGGCCCUCGGGUUGUAAAGCACUUUCAGUGAGGAAGAACGCCUGGUGGUUAAUACCCAUCAGGAAAGACAUCACUCACAGAAGAAGCACCGGCUAACUCCGUGCCAGCAGCCGCGGUAAUACGGAGGGUGCGAGCGUUAAUCGGAAUUACUGGGCGUAAAGCGCGCGUAGGUGGCUUGAUAAGCCGGUUGUGAAAGCCCCGGGCUCAACCUGGGAACGGCAUCCGGAACUGUCAAGCUAGAGUGCAGGAGAGGAAGGUAGAAUUCCCGGUGUAGCGGUGAAAUGCGUAGAGAUCGGGAGGAAUACCAGUGGCGAAGGCGGCCUUCUGGACUGACACUGACACUGAGGUGCGAAAGCGUGGGUAGCAAACAGGAUUAGAUACCCGGGUAGUC